GGUUGUGGCUCAGUGGUAAAACGCUCGCCUAGCAUGUGGGAGUCCCUGAGUUUGAUCCUCAGCACCA
rnacentral:tRNA from 1 species